CAGGUCCUCCCGCCCCGCACGGCCUCCUUUCCUCCUCACUGCCUGGCUCACCCGCCCCUGCAGAUGCAGCUUGAAUAGUUGCUCCCAGACACCUCUGCCCUCGGAGUGGGAAGGAAAGCUUUACUCGCCCUGCACCUGGAUCCUUCCUCCUCCUUGGAGUCCUUUUCAGGUGUACAGCAUGGCGGUUAGACAAUCACAUCACUUCCCCAGUGUGUUUCCCUCCACGUUUCGAGUCCCACCUGCACCACACAGUCAUCCCGUGUUACUGACGUGUUCCCUGUGCUGCGCUCACAGAAAACCACAGAGUGGCAACCGGGACCCCACACCGGGCGGCCCCAGGGAGCGCCACCCACGCUGGGGUCCAUGAGCUCCCCACGGCGGAAUGGUUAGCGGUGAUUUUUGAGGGGGGGGCCAUAUUUCUGUAUU